rnacentral:rRNA from 1 species
CCUACGGGCGGCAGCAGUGGGGAAUAUUGGACAAUGGGCGAAAGCCUGAUCUAGCCAUGCCGCGUGUGUGAAGAAGGCCUUCGGGUUGUAAAGCACUUUCAGUGGGGAAGAAAGCCUUGGGGCUAAUACCCUCGAGGAAGGACAUCACCCACAGAAGAAGCACCGGCUAACUCCGUGCCAGCAGCCGCGGUAAUACGGAGGGUGCGAGCGUUAAUCGGAAUUACUGGGCGUAAAGCGCGCGUAGGCGGUCUGAUAAGCCGGUUGUGAAAGCCCCGGGCUCAACCUGGGAACGGCAUCCGGAACUGUCAGGCUAGAGUGCAGGAGAGGAAGGUAGAAUUCCCGGUGUAGCGGUGAAAUGCGUAGAGAUCGGGAGGAAUACCAGUGGCGAAGGCGGCCUUCUGGACUGACACUGACGCUGAGGUGCGAAAGCGUGGGUAGCAAACAGGAUUAGAUACCCUUGUAGUC